rnacentral:rRNA from 1 species
AGAGUUUGAUCCUGGCUCAGGAUGAACGCUGGCGGCGUGCCUAAUACAUGCAAGUCGAGCGAAUGGAUUAAGAGCUUGCUCUUAUGAAGUUAGCGGCGGACGGGUGAGUAACACGUGGGUAACCUGCCCAUAAGACUGGGAUAACUCCGGGAAACCGGGGCUAAUACCGGAUAACAUUUUGAACCGCAUGGUUCGAAAUUGAAAGGCGGCUUCGGCUGUCACUUAUGGAUGGACCCGCGUCGCAUUAGCUAGUUGGUGGGGUAACGGCUCACCAAGGCAACGAUGCGUAGCCGACCUGAGAGGGUGAUCGGCCACACUGGGACUGAGAUACGGCCCAGACUCCUACGGGAGGCAGCAGUAGGGAAUCUUCCGCAAUGGACGAAAGUCUGACGGAGCAACGCCGCGUGAGUGAUGAAGGCUUUCGGGUCGUAAAACUCUGUUGUUAGGGAAGAACAAGUGCUAGUUGAAUAAGCUGGCACCUUGACGGUACCUAACCAGAAAGCCACGGCUAACUACGUGCCAGCAGCCGCGGUAAUACGUAGGUGGCAAGCGUUAUCCGGAAUUAUUGGGCGUAAAGCGCGCGCAGGUGGUUUCUUAAGUCUGAUGUGAAAGCCCACGGCUCAACCGUGGAGGGUCAUUGGAAACUGGGAGACUUGAGUGCAGAAGAGGAAAGUGGAAUUCCAUGUGUAGCGGUGAAAUGCGUAGAGAUAUGGAGGAACACCAGUGGCGAAGGCGACUUUCUGGUCUGUAACUGACACUGAGGCGCGAAAGCGUGGGGAGCAAACAGGAUUAGAUACCCUGGUAGUCCACGCCGUAAACGAUGAGUGCUAAGUGUUAGAGGGUUUCCGCCCUUUAGUGCUGAAGUUAACGCAUUAAGCACUCCGCCUGGGGAGUACGGCCGCAAGGCUGAAACUCAAAGGAAUUGACGGG